CCAGAAUUAAAGUUAAUCCGGGUUACUGGAUUGAUCUGACCUUUCAAAGCUUCGAGUUAGAACCGGCUCCUGGCUGCAUAUUCGACUAUGUAGAGGUAUUUCAGGACCGCGAAGACGGAACAAGGACAUCAAUUGCAAGACUUUGUGGAACUCGAAAAUUUCGUUCCUCAGUAGUAGUUAAAGG